rnacentral:misc_RNA from 1 species
GAUGAAGAACGUAGCGAAAUGCGAUAAGUAAUGUGAAUUGCAGAAUUCCGUGAAUCAUCGAAUCUUUGAACGCACAUUGCGCCCCCUGGCAUUCCGGGGGGCAUGCCUGUCCGAGCGUCAUUUCUGCCCUCCAGCCCGGCUGGGUGUUGGGCGCUGUCCCCCCGGGGACACGCCCCAAAGGCAGUGGCGGCGCCGCGUCGGGUCCUCGAGCGUAUGGGGCUUUGUCACCCGCUCGGGACGGACUCGUCGGCGCUGGUCUUCCUCCAGGCGACCCUUCGGGGCUCGUCUUCCUUCGGUUGACCUCGGAUCAGGUAGGGUUACCCGCUGAACUUAAGCAUAUCAAUAAGCGAGGA